AAUUAACAGUAACAGCCAUCUUGUUCGGUCCGGCACUUCUCUCUGUGCAGCGGAGGGUGGUUGUUUACAGCUCAGGCAAUUUCCGAUCCCAAGGUCCUCCUCAUCAUCGGUUCUGUAGCACACCGUCAGACCCAGUUUAUCCUGCUGACGGGAUUUGUACAGCUCCACCUCCUAGAGCAGAUAAUGAACACCCGGGUCUCCACACCCAGCGCUUGAAUGUGUUAAAAAACUUGAAUUAAAAUUCAUAAAAAGUACUUGAG